rnacentral:rRNA from 1 species
GACGAACGCUGGCGGCGGGCUUAACUCAUGCAAGUCGAACGGAAAGGCCCUGCUGUUGUGGGGGGCUCGAGUGGCGAACGGGUGAGUAACACGUGAGUAACCUGCCCUUGACUUUGUGAUAACUUCAGGAAACUGGGGCUAAUACCGGAUAUGAGCUCCUGCUGCAUGGUGGGGGUGGGAAAGUUUCGUCGGUUGGGGAUGUACUCGCGGCUUAUCAGCUUGUUGGUGGGGUAGUGUCUUACCAAGGCUUUGACGGGUAGCCGGACUGAGAGGGUGACCGGACACACAGGGACUGAGAUAAGGCACAGACUCAUACGGGCGGAAGCAGUGGGGCAUCUUCUAAUAUGGGCCGAAGCCUGCUGCAGCAACGCCGCGUGCGGGAUGAAGGCCUCCGGGUUGUAAACCGCUUUCGACUGUGACGACGCGUGAGUGACGGUAAUGGGUAAAGAAGCACCGGCUCACUACGUG